rnacentral:tRNA from 1 species
CGGGGCGUGGCUCAGCCUGGUAGAGCGCCAGCUUUGGGAGCUGGAUGUCGCACGUUCAAAUCGUGUCGCCCCGACCA